GCUUAACGCGAAGAACCUUACCAGGGCUUGACAUGGAAGUGACCGGACGAGAGAUCGUUCUUCUCCCGCAAGGGAGCACUUCACACAGGUGCUGCAUGGCUGUCGUCAGCUCGUGUCGUGAGAUGUUGGGUUAAGUCCCGCAACGAGCGCAACCCUCGUUUCUAGUUGCCAGCAUUCAGUUGGGCACUCUAGAGAGACUGCCGCGAAUAACGCGGAGGAAGGUGGGGACGACGUCAAGUCAUCAUGGCCCUUACGUCCUGGGCUACACACGUGCUACAAUGGGUGUCACAGAGGGUCGCAAGAGCGCAAGCUGGAGCCAAUCCCCAAAAACACCCUCAGUUCGGAUCGAGGUCUGCAACCCGACCUCGUGAAGGUGGAAUCGCUAGUAAUCGCGGAUCAGAACGCCGCGGUGAAUACGUUCCCGGGUCUUGUACACACCG
rnacentral:rRNA from 1 species